UACGUAGGGUCCGAGCGUUGUCCGGAAUUAUUGGGCGUAAAGGGCUCGUAGGCGGUUUGUCGCGUCGGGAGUGAAAACACUGGGCUUAACCCCAGUCCUGCUUCCGAUACGGGUGGACUAGAGGUAGGUAGGGGAGAUCGGAAUUCCUGGUGUAGCGGUGAAAUGCGCAGAUAUCAGGAGGAACACCGGUGGCGAAGGCGGAUCUCUGGGCCUUACCUGACGCUGAGGAGCGAAAGCAUGGGGAGCAAACAGG
rnacentral:rRNA from 1 species